AUGCGGCGGCGCCGGUGCAGUCGCGGCGCCCGCGGCCCGCAGGGUCCUAGCGUCCACUGCAUUGGCUGCCGGGGGUCACCAUGUGAUCGCGGGGGUGGGGGCAGACGCCGCCCCCGCCCCACCCGCCGGGGGGUUCUCCGGGCGCGACAGGGCGGCCGGGCAGCGCGAGGGGAGCGCGAGGGGAGCGGAGGGCGGGGGCGGGGGCGCCCGGCCCGAGGGGCGCCCGGCGGGGCUCGGGACUGGGCCGCGGAGCGCGUGAUGGGCGCCGCCCGCCCCGCCCCUUGCUCCCACGCCGCGCGCCUGGGAGCUCCCCGACCCUGGCCCGGCCGCAGCGCCAAGUCGUCCUCCUCCUCCGCGGCCGCCGGGAGCAGUCACGGCAGCGGCGCCCCCUCCGUCUCCCGCCUUUGUCUGAGCGCGGCGCCCGCAGUGGACCUGGAGAGGGGGCCCCGAGGCUGCCCCGGCCCAGAGCCGCCGGGAAGCCUUGUCGGGAGCCGCACGGGCCGCCGGGGUGGGGACGCGGAAGGGCGGGGUCUGCAGCCUGGCGCGGCGCCCCCCAAUGCGAGUCCCGCAGUGGGCGCGGGGAUGCGGGGCCCGCAGGACCCCUCCCGGUCAGGCCCCAGCCCCCCGCGGCCGCGCAUGCGCCCCGUGGCCUUGGUGCAGGUGCAGCGGGGGCUCAGCGCCGAGAGGGACCUGCAGACGCCGCAGGCUGGGGCGGAGGAGCUCAGGUGCGGAUGGCGGCCGCCGACCCGGUCCCCGCCGCUUCGCGAACCCAGCCCCCCGCAGUUCUGCGCCGCCUCCCAGCACCACCCCGAAGGCUGUCGGAGCUGCGCGGGAGGGACGGGGCCCGGGGUCCAGGCGUCCAGGCCCGGGGACGCGCAGCCUGCGGUGUGCGGUGGACUUGGGGCCAAUGGGGCGGCUGAGGUCACCUGGCGGCCAGGAGGGGCCGGGCCUGCCAGUGGACGUGGGAGUGGGGCCGCAGCGCCCUGGUGGGGUGGGGGGGGGCGGAGGGAAGACGAGCUAGGAAGGCGGCCCCUCCAUGUCUGGGGCCCGCUGUCAGCUUUUCAAUCUAAAGGGGAAAACAGGCAAAACUAA
ensembl:lncRNA